rnacentral:rRNA from 1 species
AUUGAACGCUGGCGGAAUGCUUUACACAUGCAAGUCGAACGGUAGAGGGGGCAACCCCUCGAGAGUGGCGAACGGGUGAGUAAUAUAUCGGAACGUGCCCAGUCGUGGGGGAUAACGUAGCGAAAGUUACGCUAAUACCGCAUACGAUCUAAGGAUGAAAGCGGGGGAUCGCAAGACCUCGCGCGAUUGGAGCGGCCGAUAUCAGAUUAGGUAGUUGGUGGGGUAAAGGCUCACCAAGCCAACGAUCUGUAGCUGGUCUGAGAGGACGACAAGCCGCACUGGAACUGAGACACGGUCCAGACUCCUACGGGAGGCAGCAGUGGGGAAUUUUGGACAAUGGACGCAAGUCUGAUCCAGCCAUUCCGCGUGCAGGAUGAAGGCCCUCGGGUUGUAAACUGCUUUUGUACGGAACGAAAAGGUCUCUCUUAAUACGGGGGACUCAUGACGGUACCGUAAGAAUAAGCACCGGCUAACUACGUGCCAGCAGCCGCCGUAA